CGAGGAGGAUCAGCUCAGCUCGAUAUAGCUGGCCUCGCUUCACUCUCACUGUCAACUUGUCAAGCAAGCGCCGUCCAGCUAAGGUUCAGGCGCCCCGGCCUACGGCUGGCGCGGCGCGUGGCACGCGUUUUCCCGCUUGGAGUUUCUUCCUCCCCCGACCGAUUAAUUUAACGGGCUCCCAGCCUCCCACUCCCACCCCACCCAGAGCCAUAAUCUCGGCCAUCGGCCAUCGCCUUCUCCCCGUCUCGUCUCCGGCAUCUCGCCCCGUUCAUCCUCCCCGUUGCCGCGCGCUGUCGCCUCCGUCCCCCGGCUCGCGGCUCCGGCAAGAUCAGCAAGCGCACCCGGAAGCGCAGCUCGAUCCGCGCAGGGAGACCGGAUGGAGUUUGUGCUGAUCAUUUCGCUGCCGCUCCUCAUCCUGAUCAUCAUCGUCGCCGUGGUCCUCUGCAUCGUCUGCCGUUAGCCGAGCGCCCACGAAGAAACAUCCUUCUCCGCUGUGAUCAUACCAUGUGUUAAUUAACUUUUGUACAUCAUGACCUGAUAAAACCUCUUUCUCUGCAUUGCCGUGUGAUUAAUCGGCUGUAGCUCUAUCCUUUAUUUUUUUUUUCAAUCCCUGGUGCAAAAAGGGCUUCGAUUCUGCGUGUCAGGCUGAUACAUAGCAGACAUGCUGCAAGGCUGGGCUGGACGGCGGGGUUCCUUCAUUCCUUGCCGUGCUCUUUUGGUU